AUUGAACGCUGGCGGCAGGCCUAACACAUUCCAGUCGAACGAGUGGCGGACGGGUGAGUAAUGUCUGGGAAACUGCCCGAUGGAGGGGGAUAACUACUGGAAACGUUAGCUAAUACCGCAUACCAUCGGAUGUGCCCAGAUGGGCUGAGCUAGUAGGUGGGGUAACGGCUCACCUAGGCGACGAUCCCUAGCUGGUCUGAGAGGAGUACCGGCAACACGGGAACUGAGACACGGCCCAGACUCCUACGGGAGGCAGCAGUGGGGAAUAUUGCACAAUGGGCGAAAGCCUGAUGCAGCAAUGCCGCGGGUAUGAAGAAGGCCUUCGGGUUGUAAAGUACUUUCAGCGAGGAGGCGUUACUCGCAGAAGAAGCACCGGCUAACGCCGUGCCAGCAGCCGCGGUAAUUC
rnacentral:rRNA from 1 species